GCCUGAUCAGCCAUACCGCGUGGGUGAAGAAGGCCUUCGGGUUGUAAAGCCCUUUUGUUGGGAAAGAAAUCCAGCUGGCUAAUACCCGGUUGGGAUGACGGUACCCAAAGAAUAAGCACCGGCUAACUUCGUGCCAGCAGCCGCGGUAAUACGAAGGGUGCAAGCGUUACUCGGAAUUACUGGGCGUAAAGCGUGCGUAGGUGGUCGUUUAAGUCCGUUGUGAAAGCCCUGGGCUCAACCUGGGAACUGCAGUGGAUACUGGGCGACUAGAGUGUGGUAGAGGGUAGCGGAAUUCCUGGUGUAGCAGUGAAAUGCGUAGAGAUCAGGAGGAACAUCCAUGGCGAAGGCAGCUACCUGGACCAACACUGACACUGAGGCACGAAAGCGUGGGGAGCAAACAGGAUUAGAUACCCUGGUAGUCCACGCCCUAAACGAUGCGAACUGGAUGUUGGGUGCAAUUUGGCACGCAGUAUCGAAGCUAACGCGUUAAGUUCGCCGCCUGGGGAGUACGGUCGCAAGACUGAAACUCAAAGGAAUUUGA
rnacentral:rRNA from 1 species